rnacentral:rRNA from 1 species
UGCCAGCCGCCGCGGUAAUACGGAGGGUGCGAGCGUUAAUCGGAAUUACUGGGCGUAAAGCGCGCGUAGGCGGUUUGAUUAGUCAGAUGUGAAAGCCCCGGGCUUAACCUGGGAACUGCAUUUGAUACUGUCAAGCUAGAGUAUGGUAGAGGGAAGUGGAAUUCCACAUGUAGCGGUGAAAUGCGUAGAGAUGUGGAGGAACACCAGUGGCGAAGGCGACUUCCUGGAUCAACACUGACGCUGAGGUGCGAAAGCGUGGGUAGCAAACAGGAUUAGAUA